CCUACGGGUGGCAGCAGUGGGGAAUAUUGGACAAUGGGGGCAACCCUGAUCCAGCCAUGCCGCGUGUGUGAAGAAGGCCCUCGGGUUGUAAAGCACUUUCAGUGAGGAAGAACGCCUGGUGGUUAAUACCCAUCAGGAAAGACAUCACUCACAGAAGAAGCACCGGCUAACUCCGUGCCAGCAGCCGCGGUAAUACGGAGGGUGCGAGCGUUAAUCGGAAUUACUGGGCGUAAAGCGCGCGUAGGUGGCUUGAUAAGCCGGUUGUGAAAGCCCCGGGCUCAACCUGGGAACGGCAUCCGGAACUGUCAUGCUAGAGUGCAGGAGAGGUAGGUAGAAUUCGCGGUGUAGCGGUGAAAUGCGUAGAGAUCGGGAGGAAUACCAGUGGCGAAGGCGGCCUUCUGGACUGACACUGACACUGAGGUGCGAAAGCGUGGGUAGCAAACAGGAUUAGAUACCCCAGUAGUC
rnacentral:rRNA from 1 species